CGGGUGAGUAACGCGUGAGUAACCUGCCUUACACAAGGGGAUAGCCGUUGGAAACGACGAAUAAUACCCUAUGAAACUAUCACUUCGCAUGAAGCGAUAGUCAAAGUGUUAGCGGUGUAAGAUGGACUUGCGUCUGAUUAGCUAGUUGGUGAGAAAAAAGCCCACCAAGGCAACGAUCAGUAGCCGGCUUGAGAGAGUGUACGACCACAUUGGGACUGAGACACGGCCCAG
rnacentral:rRNA from 1 species